AGAGUUUGAUCCUGGCUCAGAAUCAACGCUGGCGGCGUGCCUAACACAUGCAAGUCGCACGAGAAAGGGGAGCAAUCCCUGAGUAUAGUGGCGCACGGGUGAGUAACACGUGACUAACCUACCCUCGAGUGGGGAAUAACCUAGGGAAACCUGGGCUAAUACCGCAUAACACUUACGAGUCAAAGCAGCAAUGCGCUUGGGGAGGGGGUCGCGGCCGAUUAGCUAGUUGGCGGGGUAAUGGCCCACCAAGGCAAUGAUCGGUAUCCGGCCUGAGAGGGCGCACGGACACACUGGAACUGAGACACGGUCCAGACUCCUACGGGAGGCAGCAGUGGGGAAUUUUGCGCAAUGGGGGAAACCCUGACGCAGCAACGCCGCGUGGAGGAUGAAGUCUCUUGGGAUGUAAACUCCUUUCGAUCGGGACGAUUAUGACGGUACCGGAAGGAGAAGCCCCGGCUAACUUCGUGCCAGCAGCCGCGGUAAUACGAGGGGGGCAAGCGUUGUUCGGAAUUAUUGGGCGUAAAGGGAGCGUAGGCGGUUUUGUAAGUCGUGUGUGAAAUCUUCAGGCUCAACCUGAAGUCUGCACACGAAACUGCAGGGCUUGAGUAUGGGAGAGGUGAGUGGAAUUCCUGGUGU
rnacentral:rRNA from 1 species